UACGAAGGGGGCUAGCGUUGUUCGGAUUCACUGGGCGUAAAGGGUGCGUAGGUGGCGAGGUAAGUCGGAUGUGAAAUCUCCGAGCUCAACUCGGAAAUGGCAUUGGAAACUACCUUGCUCGAGGGUUGGAGGGGGGACUGGAAUACUUGGUGUAGCAGUGAAAUGCGUAGAUAUCAAGUGGAACACCAGUGGCGAAGGCGAGUCCCUGGACAACUCCUGACACUGAGGCACGAAAGCUAGGGGAGCAAACAGG
rnacentral:rRNA from 1 species